UUUUUAGUAGAGACAGGGUUUCACCGUGUUAGCCAGGAUGGUCUCAAUCUCCUGACCUCGUGAUCUGCCCUGUGCUUUGGGAGUCAUGUCCAAAAAAUCAUUGUCCAGACCAAUGUAAUGAAGCCUUUUCUGUAGGUUGUCUUCUAGUAGAUUUAUAGUUUUGGAUCUUGUUUGAUCCAGGGAGGGGGCCAGGAGUGGGUAACCCCCUCUUGCAUGAAUGAAGGGGUCUUGAAUCUAGCACGCUCUGAACCAGACUCUCCCCCCGCCGCCCUCCGCCCUCCACCACAGUAGCAGCCCCAUCCUCCCCAGCAGUGCAAGGAAGAAACCCAAGAGUCCUUGACUUUGACCCUCCCCUUACCCCCAGAGCCAACCGCCACUCUCUCCUGCCUGGCCGUCAGAGCGAGCUUUUCACCCUCGCACCGCAUCAUGUCACUUUCCUGCUUGAGACCUUCGGAGGUUUCCUUCAUUUGCCAGGCAGACUCCGUGCAUGGUCGCCCUGUGUGGUUCAGCCCCAGCUUGCUUCUCCUGCCUUGUCUCCUAGCCACAUGGCCCACACACACAGCGCUGCAUCCCUCCCUGUGCUCAGUCCACAGCCUUCGGGCUUGCUGUGCUCUCUCUGCCUGUGGGGGCUGUGCACAUGCUGCUCCCUCUUCCAGAGUGUUUUCCCUGCUCCUCUUUGCUGAACCUAAGUGUCUUCAGAUCCCAGAGCAAGAUCACCUCCCCAUGGGCACCUGCUGUUCCCUGACCUCUGCC
rnacentral:lncRNA from 10 species